GAUGAACGCUGGCGGCGUGCCUAAUACAUGCAAGUCGAGCGAACAGACGAGGAGCUUGCUCCUCUGACGUUAGCGGCGGACGGGUGAGUAACACGUGGAUAACCUACCUAUAAGACUGGGAUAACUUCGGGAAACCGGAGAUAAUACCGGAUAAUAUAUUGAACCGCAUGGUUCAAUAGUGAAUGACGGUUUUGCUGUCACUUAUAGAUGGAUCCGCGCCGCAUUAGCUAGUUGGUAAGGUAACGGCUUACCAAGGCAACGAUGCGUAGCCGACCUGAGAGGGUGAUCGGCCACACUGGAACUGAGACACGGUCCAGACUCCUACGGGAGGCAGCAGUAGGGAAUCUUCCGCAAUGGGCGAAAGCUUGACGGAGCAACGCCGCGUGAGUGAUGAAGGUCUUCGGGUCGUAAAGCUCUGUUAUUAGGGAAGAACAACUGUGUAAUUAACUAUGCACGUCUUGACGGUACCUAAUCAGAAAGCCCCGGCUAACUACGUG
rnacentral:rRNA from 1 species